rnacentral:rRNA from 1 species
UACAGAGGGUGCGAGCGUUGUUCGGAAUCAUUGGGCGUAAAGAGCGUGUAGGCGGCUGGAUAAGUCAGAUGUGAAAGCCCUGGGCUUAACCCAGGAAGUGCAUUUGAAACUGUUCAGCUUGAGUUCGGGAGAGGAGAGCGGAAUUCCAGGUGUAGCGGUGAAAUGCGUAGAUAUCUGGAAGAACACCAGUGGCGAAGGCGGCCAUCUGGCCUAAUACUGACGCUGAGGUACGAAAGCAUGGGGAGCAAACAGG